rnacentral:lncRNA from 1 species
GGGCAUCCGAUACAGUUUCAAGGGAGUUAACUCUUGGCGCGACGUUAAGCGUUUGAUUUCCCGCAAAACGUCACUUUUUGCGGGACGUAAUGCGUGUAAUGUUCCGUAAUAAGAAACGUAAUGUGGAAUUUUUAUGCUCCAAUUUCUGUUUCUUUUUCCCGCAUGCUAACUUCUACGCCAUUAAUAUUAGUGCAUUCGAUUCUAA